CCUCGGGAGGCAGCAGUGAGGAAUAUUGGUCAAUGGGCGCGAGCCUGAACCAGCCAAGUAGCGUGAAGGAUGACUGCCCUACGGGUUGUAAACUUCUUUUAUAAAGGAAUAAAGUGAGGCACGUGUGCCUUUUUGUAUGUACUUUAUGAAUAAGGAUCGGCUAACUCCGUGCCAGCAUCCGCGGUAAUACGGAGUAUGCGAUCGUUAUCCGGAUUUAUUGGUUUUAAAGGGUUCGUAGGAGGAUUUUUAAGUCAGCGGUAAAAUGUCCGGGCUCAACCCGGGCCGGCCGUUGAAACUGGAGAUCUUGAGUGGGCGAGAAGUAAGCGGAAUGCGUGGGGGAGCGGUGAAAUGCAUAGAUAUCACGCAGAACUCCGAUUGCGAAGGCAGCAUACCGGCGCCCGACUGACGCUGAGGCACGAAAGCGUGGGGAUCGAACAGGAUUAGAUACCCGAGUAGUC
rnacentral:rRNA from 1 species